UAGGGAAUCUUCGGCAAUGGACGAAAGUCUGACCGAGCAACGCCGCGUGAGUGAAGAAGGUUUUCGGAUCGUAAAACUCUGUUGUUAGAGAAGAACAAGGACGUUAGUAACUGAACGUCCCCUGUCGGUAUCUAACCAGAAAGCCACGGCUAACUACGUGCCAGCAGCCGCGGUAAUACGUAGGUGGCAAGCGUCGUCCGGAUUUAUUGGGCGUAAAGCGAGCGCAGGCGGUUUCUUAAGUCUGAUGGGAAAGCCCCCGGCUCAACCGGGGAGGGUCAUUGGAAACUGGGAGCCUUGAGUGCAGAAGAGGAGAGUGGAAUUCAAUGUGUAGCGGUGAAAUGCGUAGAUAUAUGGAGGAACACCAGUGGCGAAGGCGGCUCUCUGGUCUGUAACUGACGCUGAGGCUCGAAAGCGUGGGGAGCAAACAGG
rnacentral:rRNA from 1 species